rnacentral:rRNA from 1 species
UACGUAGGGCGCGAGCGUUGUCCGGAUUUAUUGGGCGUAAAGAGCUCGUAGGCGGCUUGUCGCGUCGUUCGUGAAAACCUGCAGCUCAACUGCAGGCUUGCGGUCGAUACGGGCAGGCUAGAGUUCGGUAGGGGAGACUGGAAUUCCUGGUGUGAGCGGUGAAAUGCGCAGAUAUCAGGAGGAACACCAACGGCGAAGGCAGCUCGCUAGGACGGUACUGACGCUGAGACGCGAAAGCGUGGGGAGCGAACAGG